GGGGGCGACCGGUUUCGACGGGAUGGUUGCAACCCAAGCUGCGCGCCGAGGAAUCCUGCUUGGCCUCGUAAAACACGCGGGAAAAAACACAACAGCCAACCAAGACUUGGCUCUCGCGGCCUAAGUUGCCGCGACGUGGACACCCUGAAGUCUGCUAGGGGCUGUCUGCGUAAUAAAGCAGGCCCUGUUGGCGUCCGGGUGGCCGGGGCGUCACGCUUGUAAUUUCGUGGCCGCUGGCGGUAGGGGCAGUUGGCUCGGGGACGUUCCCUGCCGCGAGAUUAAAGCACGGGACACGCGCGUAGAUGCUUGGAGGAAGCCGUUUCGGACGGGGGUUCAACUCCCCCCGCCUCCACCA
rnacentral:tmRNA from 1 species